GAUGGUAGUGUAUUGGACUACCAUGGCUUUAACGGGUAACGGAGGAUUAGGGUUCGAUUCCGGAGAGGGAGCCUGAGAAACGGCUACCACAUCUAAGGAAGGCAGCAGGCGCGUAAAUUACCCAAUCCUGACUCAGGGAGGUAGUGACAAGAAAUAACGGACCGAAGCCUAUGUUUCGGGAUUGCAAUGAGUAGAAUUUAAACCCCUUUGCGAGGAUCAAUUGGAGGGCAAGUCUGGUGCCAGCAGCCGCGGUAAUA
rnacentral:rRNA from 1 species